rnacentral:rRNA from 1 species
AGGGCACACAAUGGAUGCCUAGACGUAUAUUACCGAUGAAGGACGUGGAAGACUGCGAUAAGCUUCGGGAAGCUGUCAACAAGCUUUGAUCCGGAGAUCUCCGAAUGGGGAAACCCAGCAUGAGUCAUGUCAUGUUGCCACUUGCUGAACACAUAGGCAAGCGAGCGGGAACCAUCUGAACUGAAACAUCUUAGUAGGAUGAGGAAGAGAAAGUAAAUAACGAUUGCGAAAGUAGUGGCGAGCGAAAUCGCAACAGCCCAAACCUUUUAAGUUUUUGCCUAUUAAUUUAGGCAAAUAAGUUGAUAGACGAAUACUUAUAAGGGGUUGUGAUAUUACAUAUGACCAAGUCAGAGAAUUUGAUUCAUUCAAAUAAUCUGAUUUGCGAUAACUGGCUAUCAACAGUUAGUAAGGUAAGAAAUCGGCGUGGUUAGUAGAAUAGUUUGAAUGACUAGCCAAAGAACGUGAAAGCCGUGUAUAUGAAAACGACGCUGACCUUAUGUAUGUUUUAUCGAGUAGGACGGGGCACGAGAAACCCUGUUUGAAUCUGGCUGGACCACCAGCCAAGGCUAAAUAUAAUAUACGAUCGAUAGUGAACUAGUACAGCGAUGGAAAGGUGAAAAGAACCCCGGGAGGGGAGUGAAAUAGAACCUGAAAUUGUGUGCCUACAAGGAGUCGGAGCCGGCUUGUCCGGUGACGGCGUGCUUUUUGUAGAACGAUCCAGCGAGUUAAUUUCAUGCGCCAGGUUAAGUCAAGUGACGGAGCCACAGUGAAAGCGAGCCUGAAUAGGGCGAUAAGUGUAUGGGAUUAGACCCGAAACCGGGUGACCUAACCAUGAGCAGGUUGAAGCUGCGGUAACACGCAGUGAAGGACCGAACCAGUUUGCGCAGUAAAGCAUUUGGAUGACUUGUGGUUAGCGGUGAAAUGCCAAUCGAACUCGGAGAUAGCUGGUUCUCCUCGAAAUAGCUUUAGGGCUAGCGUCAUGUAAUAUAGCCAACGGGGGUAGAGCUCUGUAAACGACUGGGGCGGGCAACUGUACCCACCGUUAACAAACUACGAAUACCGUUGGUGGUACCAUGGCAGUUAGAACAUCGGGGCUAAGCUCGGUGCUCAAAAGGGAAACAGCCCAGACCAUCAUCUAAGGUCCCUAAAUUAACACUAAGUGGGAAACAAGGUGAAAUUUCUUAAACAGCGAGGAUGUUGGCUUAGAAGCAGCCAUUCAUUUAAAGAGUGCGUAACAGCUCACUCGUCAAGAGAUUUUGCGUGGAAAAUGUAACGGGGCUAAAGUGUUAUACCGAAGAUAUGGAUUUCGUUAUUCCUACGGGUUUAACGGAGUGGUAGAGGAGCGUUCCUAUCGGCAGUGAAGCUCAAUCGUAAGGUUGGGUGGAGCGUUAGGAAGUGAGAAUGCUGGAAUGAGUAACCAUAAGAAAGGUGAGAAUCCUUUCGGCCGUAAGAGCGAGGUUUCCAGGGCUACUGUAAUAAUCCCUGGGUUAGUCGGGCCUAAGCCGAGGCGUAGCAGCGUAGGCGAUGGACAUCAGGUUAAUAUUCCUGAACCGGUUAUAAUUUGUAUACUGUGUACGGUAAAUUAGUCGAAGCGGAUUAUUGGUAUAUAUCCGUCCAACUUAGCGGGAACGCAAAAGGAGUGAAAGUUAAUCUACGGAUUAAUGAUUUUGAUGAAAGUACUGGCUAGAAAAGCAGAUAUACGCGUGGUUAUAGCCGCCCGUACCGCAAACCAACACAGGUGCUCGAGUCGAGUAGACUCAGGCUUACGAGCGAACCUUCGCUAAGGAACUCGGCAAUACAGCGACCGUAACUUCGGGAUAAGGUCUGCCCCCACUUCGGUGGAUAUCAGCCGCGUUCACUCAGUGAAUAUUAGGUUAAAGAGUACAUUUUUAAUCACAAAACGAAUUUUCUGAGAUAGAGCAAACGAAUUGUUCUUUUGAACGCGAACCUCUGACAUCUAACGAUGUGGGGGCCGCAGCAAAAGAGCCCACGGAACUGUUUAUCAAAAACACAGGUCUCUGCUAACACGAAAGUGGAUGUAUAGGGGCUGACUCCUGCCCAGUGCUGGAAGGUUAAGGGGAGUGCUUUACGGUGCGAACUGAAGCCCCAGUGAACGGCGGCGGUAACUAUAACCGUCCUAAGGUAGCGAAAUUCCUUGUCAGGUAAGUUCUGACCCGCACGAAUGGAGUAAUCAUGUGGGCACUGUCUCAGCGAAGGACUCGGUGAAAGUGCAUUGGCGGUAAAGAUGCCGUCUGUCCGUACCAGGACGAAAAGACCCCAUGGAGCUUUACUACAGCUUUACAUUGAAUAUGGUUUCAACAUGUGUAGCAUAGGUGGGAGACUUUGAAGCAGAUACGCCAGUAUUUGUGGAGUCACCAAGUGAAAUACCACCCUUGUUGUGAUUGUGUUCUCACGCUGACCGUUAUCCGGUUAGCGGACCGUGUAUGGUGGGUAGUUUAACUGGGGCGGUUGCCUCCUAAAGAGUAGCGGAGGCGUUCAAAGGUUGGCUAACUUCGGAUGGAAAUCGAAGUGAUAGUGCAUGCGCAAAAGCCAGCUUGACUGCGAGAAUUACAAUUCGACCAGAGUGGAAACACGGAGCAAGUGACCCGCUGUAAGAACAUUGUUCAUUGAAUGUGGGAUCGACAGCGCACACGGAUAAAAGUUACCCUGGGGAUAACAGGCUUAUCGCGCCCAAUAGUUCACAUAGACGGCGCGGUUUGGCACCUCGAUGUCGGCUCAUCACAUCCUGGAGGGGGAGCACCUUCCAAGGGUUCGGCUGUUCGCCGAUUAAAGUGGUACGCGAGCUGGGUUCAGAACGUCGUGAGACAGUUCGGUUUAUAUCCGGCAUGGACGUAAGGAUUCUUGAGGAGAUUUGUCUCUAGUACGAGAGGACCGAGAUGAACGAACCUCUGGUGUAUCGAUUGUGGCCACCUGCUGCAGUGUCGAGUAGCUAUGUUCGGUUAAGAUAAGCGCUGAAAGCAUAUUAAGCGCGAAACUGACUCCAAGAUUAGGAAUCCCAUGAGGACACAGAAAGAUGAUCUGUUUGAUAGGCGCAAGGUGUAAACCUGGUAACAGGCUAGCCAAAGCGUACUAAUAGUCCAAUCGCCUUUUUA